rnacentral:rRNA from 1 species
AUUGAACGCUAGCUACAGGCUUAACACAUGCAAGUCGAGGGACCGGCGCACGGGUGAGUAACACGUAUCCAACCUGCCCUUUACCCGGGGAUAGCCUUUCGAUAGAAAGAUUAAUACCCGAUGUAAAGGAUGGGGAUGCGUUCCAUUAGGUUGUUGGUGAGGUAACGGCUCACCAAGCCUUCGAUGGUUAGGGGUUCUGAGAGGAAGGUCCCCCAGAUUGGAACAGAGACACAGUCCAAACUCGUACGGGAGGGAGCAGUGAGGAAUAUUGGUCAAUGGGCGUUAGCCUGACCCAGCCAAGUAGCGUGAAGAAUGAAGGCGUGUGGGUCGUAAACUUCUUUUAUAUAAGAAUAUGUAUUAUAUGAAUAAGGAUCGGCUAACUCCGUGCCAGCAGCCGCGGUAAUAC